GAUGAACGCUGGCGGCGUGCCUAAUACAUGCAAGUAGAACGCUGAAGCUUGGUGCUUGCACCGAGCGGAUGAGUUGCGAACGGGUGAGUAACGCGUAGGUAACCUGCCUCUUAGCGGGGGAUAACUAUUGGAAGCGAUAGCUAAUACCGCAUAAAAGUCGAUAUCGCAUGAUAUUGAUUUGAAAGGUGCAAAUGCAUCACUAAGAGAUGGACCUGCGUUGUAUUAGCUAGUUGGUGAGGUAACGGCUCACCAAGGCGACGAUACAUAGCCGACCUGAGAGGGUGAUCGGCCACACUGGGACUGAGACACGGCCCAGACUCCUACGGGAGGCAGCAGUAGGGAAUCUUCGGCAAUGGGGGCAACCCUGACCGAGCAACGCCGCGUGAGUGAAGAAGGUUUUCGGAUCGUAAAGCUCUGUUGUAAGAGAAGAACGAGUGUGAGAGUGGAAAGUUCACACUGUGACGGUAACUUACCAGAAAGGGACGGCUAACUACGUG
rnacentral:rRNA from 1 species